UUAUGUGACAUUGUAUUGCGUAGAAGAAAUAAUCAAUUACAACGUGUUUGUGAAACACAUCGCUCUUACGAUGCCCUACAGUACCAAAUUUUGUUUUGUCGGGGUGAAGACGGAUACUCUAUUAAUUUAAAAAUGAACGUGAAGUCAAUAAAACUGUCAGCGCUAUGAACUAUCUGAACUAUUAUGCACAUAGAAUUAUGAUACGACAAAAUCAGGAAAAUCAUAUUUUGUAAUGUCGGAGACUCAUUCAUCAAUAUGUCGUAGACAUGUAUGCAAAGAUAGAAACAGAGCGUCUGAACUUUAUUCGAUUCAAAAAAAAAAUGGAAAUGUUGACAAUGUUGGACAAGUUGUUAUUUUACCAGCAAGUUACAGAGGCAGUCCAAGGCACAUGCAUGAAUAUGCACAAGAUGCCAUUUGUUUACUUGUUUAUUGAUAAACAUCAAGUUUUCGGCGAAGUUCCAUGUUGGAUGUAUUCGGUGGAAUGGCAAAAGAGAGGAUUACCACAUGCUCAUAUUUUGGUAUGGUUAGUCAACAAAAUAACAAGCGAUCAAAUAGAUGACAUCAUCUCAGCAGAAUUUCCUGAUCAGGAAAUCGAUCCAGGUUUAUUUGAUGUUGUUACAAAAAGUAUGAUUCAUGGACCAUGUGGUGUUUUAAAUAUUAAUUCGCCAUGUAUGAAAGAUGGGAAAUGCCCGAAGCGGUAUCCCAGAGAUUUGAUAUCCGAGACAAUUAAUGGAAAUGAUGGUUACCCAUUGUAUCGCCGACGCUCAACAGAUGAUAAUGGCAAAUUAAUCAAUCUACGAGUCAAUAAUCAAGAUAUUACAGUUGAUAAUAGGUGGGUUGUCCCCUAUUCGCCAAUACUAUCAAAAGCAUUCAAAGCUGAUGAAAUAACACAAUAUCAAAUGGGAAGGUAUAUCAGUAGCAAUGAGGCAGUUUGGAGAAUAUUAUCGUUCCCAAUUCAUGAUCGAAAUCCGGCAGUUAUUCAUUUGUCAGUACAUUUGGAACAUGGACAACGUGUAUAUUUCACAGUUGAUAAUGAACAGCAAAUUGCAGAGCGACCACCAUCAACUACAUUAUUAUCGUUUUUCCAAUAGAAGGAAUACCAGUUCAAGGUUAUGCUGGCAUUUUUGAAAGUGAUGCCAUUGGACGUCUCUACAGUCAUGCUGAAUGUUUUUAUUUGCGUCUAUUAUUGAUUCAUGUUCGUGGGCCUACAUCUUUUUUGAAUUUGAAAAGAGUUAACGGUCUACAGUGUCACACUUUUCUUCAAGCAUGUCAGGAAUUGAAUUUACUGGAAGAUGAUAGACACUGGGAUGCGAUACUUAGGGAUGCAUCAGCAACAGGUUCUCCUCAUCAAAUAGGAACAUUUAUUUGCUAUUAUUAUUGCAACAUGUUUUCCAUCUGAUCCAUUGCAAUUAUGGGAAAAUUUUAAGGAUUUUAUGACCGAAGACAUUUUGCAUCGAAUGCGCCGAAUUGCAGGAAAUAACGAUUUAAUGAUUACACUUGAAAUGUUUAAUGAGGCAAGAUAUUUGUUUGGUAAUUGCAAAUAAAGCAUUGACACAAUUGGGUUGGCCAGCUCCAAAUCGACCAAUGCAUGAUGCAUUCAAUAAAUUCAAUAAAUUGAAUCCCGAACAGAGACACGCAUAUGAUGCCAUAAUGGAAUCAGUACGAAACGAAACUGGAGGAAUGUUUGUUUUAGACGCUCCAGGAGGAACUGGCAAAACAUUUCUGAUUUCCUUGCUAUUAGCGACUAUAAAAUCACAGAGUAAUAUAGCAUUGGCACUUGCAUCGUCUGGAAUAGCAGCGACGUUAUUAGAUGGUGGUCGGACAGCCCAUUCUGCACUUAAAUUACCACUGAAUAUGAAUGUAAAUGAAAAUUCCACCUGUAAUGUUUCCAAAAAUUCGGGAAUGGACAAAGUCUUGCAACAAUGCAAAUUAGUAGUGUGGGAUGAAUGUGCAAUGGCCCAUAAGAAAUCAGUGGAAGCGUUAGACAGGACAUUGCAAGACUUGCGUAGUAAUGAUCAACAGAUAUUUGGUGGCGCUUUGAUUCUGUUGGCUUGUGAUUUUCGUUAGACAUUGCCUGUGAUUCACCGUUCAACAACAGCAGAUGAAUUAAAAGCAUGUUUAAAGUCAUCUUAUUUAUGGAGACAUGUACAAAUACUCAAUUUGACUACAAAUGUGCGAGUAAAAAUUCAAAACGAUCCAUCGGCCGACACAUUUUCAAGGCAACUGUUGGCAAUAGGCAAUGGUCAACUUGCUGUUGAUCGUGAAACUGGCUUAAUCACUUUACCAGAUAACUUUUGUAAUAUUGCACCGACAAAAGAAGAAUUGGUGUCAAGUGUUUUUCCAAAUAUUGCAGAAAAUUAUCGCAAUCAUAAUUGGUUAGCUGAAAGAGCUAUACUGGCCGCUAAAAAUAAAGACGUUGGUCAAAUGAAUGCAGACAUUUUAACCCAUGUUCCUGGCGAAGUUGUAACAUAUCAAUCAGUUGACACGGUUACGAAUCAAGACGACGCUGUUAAUUAUCCGACAGAAUUUUUGAAUUCAUAGGAUUUACCCGGAUUUCCACCUCAUCGUUUACAAUGGAAAGUGGGUGCUCCCAUUAUUAUGCUUCGAAAUAUAAAUCAACCACGAUUACGCAAUGGGACAAGAUUAGCGGUUAAAAAGGUCAUGAUCAAUUUGAUCGAAGCAACAAUUUUAAAGGGGAAGUUUAAAGGUGAAGAUGUAUUGAUUCCACGAAUUCCAAUGAUUCCAUCAGAUUUACCUUUUGAAUUCAAAAGACUACAGUUUCCAAUACGUCUUGCAUUUGCUAUUAAGAUAAAUAAAGCGCAAGGGCAAUCGUUGGAAUUGCGUGGAAUUGAUUUAGAAUAUCCUUGCUUUUCACACGGCCAGUUGUAUGUUUCGUGCUCACGUGUUGGCAAGCCUUCAGUUCUCUUUAUCUACACAACAACUCAUGGCAAAACCAAAAAUGUUGUCUACGAAAGAGCUCUAAGAUAGUUUAAGUGAUACAUAGUCUCAGAUUGUAAGAACCUAGAAUUAAAAGUUGAAUAAUAGGGAAUAAACCCAACUUUAUUAAAAACAA